rnacentral:hammerhead_ribozyme from 1 species
AUUCAGCUGACGAGUCCCGAAUAGAACGAAAAGCGCGUCUUGGAU